GUGAGGAAUUUUCCGCAAUGGGCGAAAGCCUGACGGAGCAAUGCCGCGUGAAGGAUGAAGGCCUAUGGGUUGUAAACUUCUUUUCUCAGAAAAGAAUUAUGACGGUAUCUGAGGAAUAAGCAUCGGCUAACUCUGUGCUAGCAGCCGCGGUAAGACAGAGGAUGCAAGCGUUAUCCGGAAUGAUUGGGCGUAAAGCGUCUGUAGGUUGUUUAAAAAGUAUUCUGUCAAAGAUUAGGGCUUAACCCUAGAUAGGCAGAAUAAACUUUUAAGCUAGAGUUUGGUAGAGGCAGAGGGAAUUCCCGGUGGAGCGGUGAAAUGCGUAGAUAUCGGGAGGAACACCAAAGGCGAAGGCACUCUGCUGGGCCAAUACUAACACUGAGAGACGAAAGCGAGGGGAGCAAAUGGGAUUAGAUACCCGUGUAGUCC
rnacentral:rRNA from 1 species